GUCCCUAGUGUCGUCUGCCCCUCGGGUCCCUAGUGUCGUCUGCCCCUCGGGUCCCUAGUGUCGUCUGCCCCUCGGGUCCCUAGUGUCGGUCCGUAGUGUCGUGUUUCUGCGACCCCUAAUACAUUAGUCCAUGUUUUGAUUUCUUCCCGUUUCUCCCUGCCCUCCAGAUGCCAAAGCUACCUCCACCUGCCAGUCCAGUUCAGCCGGUUGUAACUGGCAACCACUCCAGCCUGCUGUUGGUUCAGACGGAUACCAGUGGAAACAUCGCUAUCCAGCUGACUGGUGGCCCUGCCCUGAUGACCAAGAGGACUGCUGCUCUGGGUCAGUGAGGAAUGCUGCUUGGGUAGUGAGGACUGCUGCUCUGGGUCAGUGAGGACUGCUGCUCUGGGUCCUGAGGACUGCUGCUCUGGGUCAGUGAGGACUGCGUCUCGGGUCUGAGGACUGCUGGGUCACUGCAUCUGUAGUGUGGCUGUACUGGAGCACUGAUGGUCAUAUGGAAGAAUGAACUAUGAAGCCUUUGUCCAAUAUGGCACCCUAAUCCCUAGUAGUGCACUGCUUCAGGCCCGGCAACGUCCCAACGUCUCAUUGGUUCCACUCCGCAACUUCCCAACGUCUCAUUGGUUCCACUCCUGGCAACGUCCCAACGUCUCAUUGGUACCACUCCUGGCAACGUCACAACGUCUCAUUGGUUCCACUCCUGGCAACGUCCCAACGUCUCAUUCAUAUAUCCUAUCCUCUGGGGGUCUGCAUAGAGCUAGCAGACUACAGCUCUAUAUCUAUCCUCUGGGGGUCUGCAUGGAGCUAGCAGACUACAGCUCUAAAGCCUAUCCUCUGGGGGUCUGCAUAGAGCUAGCAGACUACAGCUCUAUAGCCUAUCCUCUGGGGGUCUGCAUAGAGCUAGCAGACUACAGCUCUAUAGCCUAUCCUCUGGGGGUUGACAUGGAGCAGACUACAGCUCUAUAUCCUAUCCUCUGGGGGUCUGCGUAGAGCUAGCAGACUAGAAACAUUUGACUGAAUUUGAUGCCCAGUACAACUUGAAGAGAGUUGGCAUGGCUGAUGUCAUGUUGACGGGUUUAUAUGGGGUUUUGGUCAGUUGACCUACUGAUGAACUCAAGAGUAAUCUCCGUGCUGGGCCAGGAGGAGGUUUUCCACCAUCAACUCAUCAUUGUUCCCUACUUUGGUUUUCUAUUAGAAAUGGCACAUGCUUUAAAAAAGCACAUGGUUUAUAUUAUAUGUUGUUGUGAUUGUAAAUGAACCUGAUCAAAUAAAGAUUUGUCAAACAUUUUGCUCGCUUUUUUU
rnacentral:lncRNA from 1 species